ensembl:misc_RNA
GUGAGAGGUUCCAAGAAACUGAAUUCCUUUAUCCAUGGCAUGGGAAGCGGCAGUUCAACCUUCAUAACAUUCCCCCUCUCUCCCCAGGUUACCUCAAUUCUGAUGUGAAGAGACCAUUUCUAGGGUAAAAGGGCAGAUCAGUCUCCAUGCCUAUUCAGUCCUUGGCCCCU